UACUGAUUUUUUUUUUUUUUUUUUUAUCAUUUGAAUUUUUAAUGAAGCUGUAAAGUAAAUGUUUUACAUUUCCCAGGGACUAACAGGGCCAAUAGGGUUGAAAGGAGAUGAUGGUCCAAGAGGACUCCCUGGAGAUCCAGCCAAGGGUAUAAUUGGUCCAACUGGAAAGAAGGGUGCCAGGGGAGACAUCGGCCCAGUCGGCCACACGGGUCCUCAGGGAAUAAAGGGUGAACGAGGAGACAAAGGAGAAAAGGUUAAUAGUGAGAAAUGCUGUAUAUCAUGCUUACAUUUAGUAAUUUCUGACUCACUGACACAAAUAUACAGCAAAUAUCCUUUAACUGUAGAAAAAUUCUAGACAGAGCGGCUAUGGUUUGUUUCGACAUGUAGGGCACUCCAGGGUUUGGGAUUCCAGGACAGCAGGGACCAAAGGGAGAAAAUGGCGAGAGGGUGAGUCACUUGAAGAAUUGAAAU
rnacentral:lncRNA from 1 species